rnacentral:lncRNA from 1 species
UCCACUCUUAAGGAAAGCUAUUAAUAUACAUUAAGAGGGAGAUAUGAUAGUGCACCAUAUAAGGAAACAAUAACGAAGAGGUGGAUAUGCAGAAUAGGAAUAUGGAAUAAUCCUGAUACACCCCCUCAAGAUGGUGGUCUAUUGAAGAUGCCAAUAUUGGAGAAAAACCGUUCAAAGUCAUGACGGGAGAGUGGCUUCGUUAGUAAGUCGGC